rnacentral:rRNA from 1 species
AACGAACGCUGGCGGCAGGCCUAACACAUGCAAGUCGAACGCUCGUAGCAAUACGAGAGUGGCAGACGGGUGAGUAACACGUGGGAGCCUUCCCUAUGGUUCGGAAUAGCCCAGGGAAACUUGGGGUAAUACCGGAUAAGCCCUUACGGGGAAAGAUUUAUCGCCAUUGGAUGGGCCCGCGUCGGAUUAGCUAGUUGGUGGGGUAACGGCCUACCAAGGCGACGAUCCGUAGCUGGUCUGAGAGGAUGAUCAGCCACACUGGGACUGAGACACGGCCCAGACUCCUACGGGAGGCAGCAGUGGGGAAUAUUGGACAAUGGGCGAAAGCCUGAUCCAGCGACGCCGCGUGGACGAUGAAGGUCUUCGGAUUGUAAAGUCCUUUUGUUAGGGAAGAAUAUUUUGACGGUACCUAACGAAUAAGAGGUUGCUAACUCUGUGCCAGCAGCCGCGGUAAAAC